rnacentral:rRNA from 1 species
AAUCGACGCAGGGUUAGUCGGUUCCUAAGGCGAGGCUGAAAAGCGUAGUCGAUGGGAAACAGGUUAAUAUUCCUGUACUUCUGGUUACUGCGAUGGAGGGACGGAGAAGGCUAGGCCAGCUUGGCGUUGGUUGUCCAAGUUUAAGGUGGUAGGCUGAAAUCUUAGGUAAAUCCGGGGUUUCAAGGCCGAGAGCUGAUGACGAGUCGUCUUUUAGAUGACGAAGUGGUUGAUGCCAUGCUUCCAAGAAAAGCUUCUAAGCUUCAGGUAACCAGGAACCGUACCCCAAACCGACACAGGUGGUCGGGUAGAGAAUACCAAGGCGCUUGAGAGAACUCGGGUGAAGGAACUAGGCAAAAUGGCACCGUAACUUCGGGAGAAGGUGCGCCGGCUAGGGUGAAGGAUUUACUCCGUAAGCUCUGGCUGGUCGAAGAUACCAGGCCGCUGCGACUGUUUAUUAAAAACACAGCACUCUGCAAACACGAAAGUGGACGUAUAGGGUGUGACGCCUGCCCGGUGCCGGAAGGUUAAUUGAUGGGGUUAGCGCAAGCGAAGCUCUUGAUCGAAGCCCCGGUAAACGGCGGCCGUAACAAUAACGGUCCUAAGGUAGCGAAAUUCCUUGUCGGGUAAGUUCCGACCUGCACGAAUGGCGUAACGAUGGCGGCGCUGUCUCCACCCGAGACUCAGUGAAAUUGAAAUCGCUGUGAAGAUGCAGUGUAUCCGCGGCUAGACGGAAAGACCCCGUGAACCUUUACUGUAGCUUUGCACUGGACUUUGAGCCUGCUUGUGUAGGAUAGGUGGGAGGCUUUGAAGCGUGGACGCCAGUUCGCGUGGAGCCAUCCUUGAAAUACCACCCUGGCAUGCUUGAGGUUCUAACUCUGGUCCGUAAUCCGGAUCGAGGACAGUGUAUGGUGGGCAGUUUGACUGGGGCGGUCUCCUCCUAAAGAGUAACGGAGGAGUACGAAGGUGCGCUCAGACCGGUCGGAAAUCGGUCGCAGAGUAUAAAGGCAAAAGCGCGCUUGACUGCGAGACAGACACGUCGAGCAGGUACGAAAGUAGGUCUUAGUGAUCCGGUGGUUCUGUAUGGAAGGGCCAUCGCUCAACGGAUAAAAGGUACUCCGGGGAUAACAGGCUGAUACCGCCCAAGAGUUCAUAUCGACGGCGGUGUUUGGCACCUCGAUGUCGGCUCAUCACAUCCUGGGGCUGAAGCCGGUCCCAAGGGUAUGGCUGUUCGCCAUUUAAAGUGGUACGCGAGCUGGGUUUAGAACGUCGUGAGACAGUUCGGUCCCUAUCUGCCGUGGACGUUUGAGAUUUGAGAGGGGCUGCUCCUAGUACGAGAGGACCGGAGUGGACGAACCUCUGGUGUUCCGGUUGUCACGCCAGUGGCAUUGCCGGGUAGCUAUGUUCGGAAAAGAUAACCGCUGAAAGCAUCUAAGCGGGAAACUUGCCUCAAGAUGAGAUCUCACUGGGAACUUGAUUCCCCUGAAGGGCCGUCGAAGACUACGACGUUGAUAGGCUGGGUGUGUAAGCGUUGUGAGGCGUUGAGCUAACCAGUACUAAUUGCCCGUGAGGCUUGAUC